rnacentral:rRNA from 1 species
UACAGAGGGGGCAAGCGUUAUUCGGAAUUAUUGGGCGUAAAGGGCGCGUAGGCGGCUUGGCAAGUGGAUGGUGAAAUCCCUCGGCUUAACCGAGGAACUGCCGUCCAAACUGCUUUGCUUGAGACCGGGAGAGGUGAGUGGAAUUCCCAGUGUAGCGGUGAAAUGCGUAGAUAUUGGGAGGAACACCAGUGGCGAAGGCGGACUCACUGGACCGGUACUGACGCUGAUGCGCGAAAGCGUGGGGAGCAAAGC